CGCACCGUUUCAUUUAAAAAAUAAAUAAAUAAUAAUAAAAAUAAAUAAAAACCACUGAACCCCACCCCACCCAUCAAUUCUCCACAUUUCUAGUUUCUUCUUUCACUUUCUCUACUUCCCCUGUUCCACGUUUUUUCUUUCUUUCCUUUUCUCUAUCUUUCCAUUUCAUCUCUUCUCAUUCCAACAACAAAUAUCAACCCUACACUUAAAAGGAAGACACUACAUCUCUAGUAUAAGCUUUCUCAUGCUUCCACAAAUAUUAUUGGGUAUAAUUUUGGGGUUAGGGUUAAUGCUUUAAGGAAGGAGAUGAAUACCCACUCUUGGAAAAUCGUUCAUUGAGACUCUUUGAGAUAUGACGCUGGAAGCUUCACAUGCUUCUCAGGAGUGGUGGGAGAGCAAACUUAGUUGAUUCGUCAUAACUAUUCAAAGUCAACUGAAUAGAAAGCUUCUAGCAGAGUUAAAGAUUUGUCAAUGUCACUCUUUUGGUAGGCCUUCUUGAUAAAAACUAUUUUGUAUAUGUAUAUUUGGAGUUGAUCGAGUAUCUGCAGCUAUUUUGAGUCUAGGAAUAUCUUGUUUUGAAAUGUAUAAAUUUAAACAUGUAUAUUUUGAAAAUUCUGACUGAAUGAUGUAUAUGCUGCAAACAGGAUUUAUUCUGAUUUGGAAACAUUGAAAAUAUAGAUGAGACUUUGUCGAAAUUUCAGUAAAAUUGUUCUAAAAUAAAUAGUCAUUUGGAAAUAAUAUAUUUAUUGUUUGUCAAAUUCGGUCAUUAGGCUUGCCGGACUAGUAUUAGUUCGUGCGCCGGUCACGAUUGGAGUUGGGUCGUGACAAAGUUGGUAUCAGAGCUCGGUUGUAGAUCCUAAUAGCUGCAGACAUAGAGUGAUAAUAGAUUUUUGCUAGUAAAUUGUGAACCGCGGCACCAUUUACUUGCAAGAAGCUAUUAGUACUCUAUGGUAGUCUCUAUCUCACUUGUUGUCCAAUCCUAUCAUCUCUCUUUUGGUAUUUGAUUUGUCUCACUCUGUUUGUCGUCUUGUCUAAUAUUCGGUAAAUUUCCUUUCGUUUAGUGAGUAUAUCACCCAACACUAGGAUCACCACUAUAAGUGAAGUUUGUUCCUUAUACGUUUACUUUCCAACCUUAAAACCCUAGUCAAAGAGGUCAUGAUUCAGUCGUACUCGUUGUCGACGGACGUGAUUGGUUGUAGUAGUAGUAGUUAGUGUUGAGGUGCCUAGAGUAAGACAAAUAUUGCUAAAGGUAUUGCAACAACUUAUUGUGAUUGUUGUUGAGAAGUAGCAUGAUAAUGAUAAUCUAAGACAAACAAAUUUUGAUGGGUCACAAGUAGUUAGCCAAGGUGAGUACUAGACGAUAACCCCAUCUAGAGAGAUUGAUGUUGAUAUAGAGAAAUUCAUGAUACUUAAACCCUUACCUUUUCUACGUCGAGUGUGCGUGAGGAUCCACUUAAAUUCAUUGACUAUCUAAAGAGGUUAUAAAAAGCGUUAGGAUGCUCAGAUAUAAGGGCAGUGAAGUUGACAUCAUUUAAGUUGGAGGAUUUGGUAUAUGACUUGUUUGAUACACUUACCUGUACAAAUAGGAUCAUCGACGUUGGUAUGGAGUGAGAUCUCUUGAUUGUUUAUGACUCGUUUUCUUCUAGAAAGUUUUGGAGAUGGUUUAAAUUAUGACUAUGAGGGAUUUAAACAAACUGAGGUUAUGUCAAUUUCAAAGAACAAAACUCGUUUUGCAGAACUUUCAAGGCACAACAAAUAUUAGUAUCACAAGAGAAAUAGUUCUAGUAGACAAAUUUUUUUACACAGUGUAGAGUCGUAGAUUAGAUUAUGGGGCAUAUAGAUAAUUCACUUUUCCUUAGAAUAAUUUUGACUCUAAAGGUUGAUUUCAAUCUGAAUUUUUUUUUUUUCAAAGAGGGUAAAAUGUACUUUCAAUGUGGUUGAGUAUGCAAUAACAGGAGGGGUCGUCCUUGGCAGCUAUGACACAAUUAUUAUCUAGUCAUGAAUUAACACUAGUAGCUUUAGUAUAGAUUAUGACAGGAUGUUGUGUAUGAAUUGGAUGUUCUUCCAUCAUAUCACCUUAGUCUGUUAUAACAAGGGAGUGAGAAUUGAGAUAUUGGGUAAUCGCUUUUAUCCUUUGCGAGUAGAACGUGAUUUUGUACCAUAUAAUUUAACCUCUUGUUUAGGAUCUAACAAUGUAUUUAAAAAGGGAGUUAUUAUGGAUAAUUAUUCUUGAUUAUGGAAAUACAAGUGAGUGAAGAAAAAACAUUAAAUAGUUCCAAAAACGUGAGUUUCCUAAUGUUUUUCCUGAAGAAUUUCUUAGAUUGCCUCAUGAUAAGAAUAUUAAGAUCUCUAUAAACUUGGUUCCUAACACUCAAUGACAUCCAUACCUCUUAAUCAAAUAGUUAGCAUAACUUUAAGUGUAAGGGAGAAGCUAUAUGAUUUUCUCAAUAAGAUAUUUAUUAGUCCAACUUCUUUUCCUUGGGAAGCCGUGAUAUUGUUUAUAGGGAAGAAAGAUGAACCGUACCCAUGUGAUAUUGUGUGGUAGAGAAUCGAAUAGUAGGGUAGUAACGAGUGAAUAUUGUUUACUUUGAAUUGACGAGUUGUUUGAUAACCUCAAGAAGCUAAGUGUUUUGUCUAGGAAUGAUUUGCGGUCUAGGCAUCACCAAUUAAAGGUUGAGAGGGGUCUUAUUUCAAUGAAAACUCUUUGCACAUACUAUGAGCAUUAUAUAAUUCUGGUUAUGUCUUUUGAGUUUACUAAUGCUCUAACAUCUUUAUGGAUAUUUGAUAGAGUUAGGAUAACGGUCAUAAACCUGAGAGUUUUCAAAUCAAGAUUGUACUGAAGACCUACUAGGAUUGAAAAAUUUCUUUUCAAGUCUCAAAAUUCUACCUUUUCUUAUGAGUCACCAAAAUAAAAUAAAAUAAAAAUUACUUAUAUGUGAAAUUCCUAAGCAAUAGAAACAGACGGAAAACCACCUAUUAACUCUGCAUUGGUUAGUAGCUUCUAGGCUAUUGACAUAUUUAUCAGUAAAAUUUAAGCCUUGAUAAGGAUAUUAUUAAACUUGAAAUUUAAUAUUCCUUGAUUUAGGAAUACAUUUGGAUUGAGUAUAUCCAGGCUUGGUUGGUAGACUAUUAAGAUGUAAAUUAAAUAUGAAGUAGGUGGUUUAUAUAACAUAAAUACUAAUUAUAAUAGAAUGAUGCCCUGUGAUAGUCAUUCAAGGUGAUUAACUUCUGGAAUGAAUGAAACAAGUAUUUUUAUUUUUUAUUUAUUUAUAAGCUCUUGAAGACUAAUUUUUUAAACCUCUCAAUAUUUCUUACUAUAUGUUUCUUGGGUUAUUAGAUCACGAGUUGAUAAAUUGAAACAGUAGAGAGUAGAUUAGGUGAGUAUUAUGGAAUACGGUCAUAAACUACUUACCAAACAAAUCAGAGUUGCGCAGCGAAAGCAUGUUGGUGGAAAGGAGAUUUUGAUGUGCUGCAAUGAUUAUAGUAAAAGCAGGGUGUCAAAUAAAACUAGAAGUGUGUGAAGUGCUACUCCCAAAACCUCCAUACAUCAUUGUUCAAGACAUAAUUUAAGUUCGGUACCUUUAAUUUUAUGUUCAAUUCCUUGCGUGUUUUGUUUGAAAGUAAUGUUGCAACCUUAUAUAAGUUCUUGUUGGGGGUGGUCUUACAGAUGUCACAAGAGUGAGAACCUUGAGUAUAUUGUUUUAAUGAUUGUAAGAUGUGAAAGUAUGAUUCCAAAUGCCUAAAGUAAUAGACCAUUGAACUAAAAGAGAUGUGAUUCUAAGGUCUAUUGUUGAAUUUUAGUUAGUUACAGCAAGAAUGCUAGUGGAAUUGUGCCAACAGUAGACCAUUUUACAUACAAGCAACAGUAGAAACUUUAAACCAUCCGUAGAUCAUUAUGUUAAGAUUUAUUUAAACGAGAUCCUUUCUUUACAUGGUAUGUCAAUCUCUAUUAUCUUUAGCAACAUGGCUCAGUUGACUGCUCUGUUUUGGAAGUCUAUCUGAAAUGGAAACCCGUUUUAAAUCUUAGUACAAUCAUUACCCUCGGACUGAUGGUCAAUCUGUUAAAACUAUACAAUACAUAGAGAAUAUGUUUCGUGCUAUUGUUGUUAAUAUUGGAGGAAGUUGAUCAAUAUUUUUUCUAUGAUAUAAUUUUCAUAUAAAUAGUUACCAAUCUAGUAUUAAAGUGGCGCCUUUGAGGCAUUAUAUGUAGACAAUGUAUGUCUUUGAUAGUAUGAUUGGAUGUUGGCUAGUCUAAACUAGUGGGCCUAGAGUUGAUUCAACAUAUUAUUGAAAAGGUUAAGAUCAUCUAAGAGUGUUUAAUGCUAACUCGAAGUAGGAAGAGUCCUACUCCAAUCAGAGGUGUCAUCCUUAAGGCUUAGGGUGGGAGUCCAUGUAUUCCUACGUGUUUCACCAAUGUAGGGUGUAUUGUGGUUUGACAAAAAAUGGGAAAAUUGGUUCAAGGUUCAUUGGAAUGAAGUUUUGGCAGAAAUUCAAACUUCUAGCUUAUCGUUUAGCCCUUCGACCAUAUCUCUCGACAGUCCAUGUGAUUGUUAUAUUUCUAUGCUCUAGAAAUACCUUUAUGACCCUUUCAUGUGAUUAGUCAUGAAAAUGUGCAGCUAGACUAGGAUUUUCUUAUGUCGAACCAUUUGACAACUAUAAUAUAUAGAUAAGAAAGUGAUAUAUAUGUUUAUGAUCAAAGGGUAUCGUUUAAGUAAAUAAUCUACGACAGAGAUUGUUUAACGAGAUAAUAGCUUGAGAACCCAGAUAAGUCAUGUGUGACAAGUAUCCACGUUUAUUUGAGAAUCAAGGUUAGUAGUAUAAAUUCGAGGACGAAUUUUUUUAAGGGGGGAAGAUUGAAACGCACCGUUUCAUUUAAAAAAUAAAUAAAUAAUAAUAAAAAUAAAUAAAAACCACUGAACCCCACCCCACCCAUCAAUUCUCCACAUUUCUAGUUUCUUCUUUCACUUUCUCUACUUCCCCUGUUCCACGUUUUUUCUUUCUUUCCUUUUCUCUAUCUUUCCAUUUCAUCUCUUCUCAUUCCAACAACAAAUAUCAACCCUACACUUAAAAGGAAGACACUACAUCUCUAGUAUAAGCUUUCUCAUGCUUCCACAAAUAUUAUUGGGUAUAAUUUUGGGGUUAGGGUUAAUGCUUUAAGGAAGGAGAUGAAUACCCACUCUUGGAAAAUCGUUCAUUGAGACUCUUUGAGAUAUGACGCUGGAAGCUUCACAUGCUUCUCAGGAGUGGUGGGAGAGCAAACUUAGUUGAUUCGUCAUAACUAUUCAAAGUCAACUGAAUAGAAAGCUUCUAGCAGAGUUAAAGAUUUGUCAAUGUCACUCUUUUGGUAGGCCUUCUUGAUAAAAACUAUUUUGUAUAUGUAUAUUUGGAGUUGAUCGAGUAUCUGCAGCUAUUUUGAGUCUAGGAAUAUCUUGUUUUGAAAUGUAUAAAUUUAAACAUGUAUAUUUUGAAAAUUCUGACUGAAUGAUGUAUAUGCUGCAAACAGGAUUUAUUCUGAUUUGGAAACAUUGAAAAUAUAGAUGAGACUUUGUCGAAAUUUCAGUAAAA